rnacentral:misc_RNA from 1 species
GCAAGUAAAAGUCGUAACAAGGUUUCCGUAGGUGAACCUGCGGAAGGAUCAUUAAAGUUAUAGUCCCCCGGCCCUCUGGGCUGGGGUCUUCUAUACCACCCUUUGUUUAUUACACCUUUGUUGCUUUGGCAGGCCUGCCCUCGGGCUGCUGGCUCCGGCCGGCUCGCGUCUGCCAGAGGACCUAAACUCUGUUUGUAUAUGAAGUCUGAGUACUAUAUAAUAGUUAAAACUUUCAACAACGGAUCUCUUGGUUCUG